rnacentral:lncRNA from 1 species
AAUAUUUUACUGAGAUUAUAGAAUUUGACACCUCUUCUCUAUUACAUGUUAAAAUAUCAUUUAAAAUUUAAUACGGGUGUCUGUUAACAGGUACAACGUCAAUGUUUUCACAAUCGUCAACUGUAUCUACCAACACAUCUGAACUGUGUCAGAGGCGCUGGUCACCCUGGAUUAAUAAUGAUUCACCUUCAACUGGAGAUGGUGAUAGAGAGAGCUGGACAAAGGCCGAGCAGCAUGCAUUCUGUCCUAAUGGUAACGUCACAAGUAUCGAAUGUGUAACACAAAGUGGUAUCCACUAUUACAGUUCAGGAGAUAUAACGGAUUGUACACCAGAAAGCGGAUCUGUCUGUUUGACUGAGUAUAACUUUCCAGUACCUUGCAGUGAUUACAAGAUCAGAUACCUCUGUACCUGCGAUGGAUAGUACUUGUGUAUUUUGGGACUGCUUGAGUUCAGGACCCCAGAAUAUUUUAAUUAUUUUCUAUUUCAAUUUCUGUUUGUGUUGUCAUUUCAUGUAAAUCCCCUUUUUACAUUAAAGGUGUUAUAUGAAAUCAUAUAACAUAAACACUGCUGAUCUUACAAUAUGGAUCAAACAGCAUUAAAAUAUGUAAAUAAAAUCGGCGCCAUCUGAAACUCGCUUUGUCCUUUAUGACAAGUAACACCAAGAGUACAACUAAUUAAAUUCAAGUAUUCGAUGUUAGUUUUACUCCUUUGCAGUAAAAUUUGGAAUCAUAUCGAAGUAAUUGCCGUUAACAUCCUGCAUAACUGAUUUGAUUUUUUUUUAUUUUUUGCCUGGUCUCCACCCACUUCAUAACAUACACACACACGCGCGCGCGCGCGCACACACACACACGCACGCGCGCGCGCGCACGCACACAAACACAAACACACAUGUGCAGAAGCACAUAUUUACAAAUAUAUGCAAUUUCAUGCCAAUUAAUUUUAAUAACAUUGAAUGUGAAAUCAUUAUUAUUCGUAUUUCAUUUCUAUAGAUCCGCUUUUUGAUCGUUUUCUCUUAUAUUUUCCUUAAACGUAAUUUUAAAGAUGUUCUGAAAAAGCUUAAGUUUUUUGUCGUAAUCGUUUUGUUUUUUUUUGUUUGUUUGUUUGUUUGGUUUUUUUGUUUUUUGUUUUUGUUUUUGCUUUUUUUUCAUUACUGGUUGUUUUGCAUAAUGGUACCAGACCAGAAGGAAAAAUACAACUGUAUACCUUACCCCUGUGUAAACUAUGACAUUGUACUCAACGGGAAAGUAUACUAGCCCAUUUCUCACCUAAAACGCGCCGUUAGACAAAUGCGUAAUGCACAUUCAACAACUUGUAAUUUAUAUUAUAUGGAUACUAGAACUAGAACUGUUGUGCUUUCUGAAGUAAGGACUCGUUUUAAAUUUCAACUGUAAUCAAAUUUUGGCAAUGACAGCAAAAACGUUUGGAUCUUCAUGAGUUACCGGGUGUAUUAACAAAAUAUGGCGCAAGGCUGACGGAACGUGUUCUGCAAAAACAAUGCAUAUCAAGAAUGGAGAGAUAAAGCUAAUUUUUGACAGAUCAUGAAAACUACUGUCAAACUUUUACAAGUGGAAAAUGACUUAUUACAUAAUUGGUGUUAUUUCUGCCUUCGAAAACGGUUUUCUUUAAAAGGGUUUUCUGUACUGUAGUUUACAACUCAUGAAAUAAAACAAUAAAAUAACUGAC